rnacentral:rRNA from 1 species
CAGCCGCCACGGUAAUACGGAGGGAACUAGCGUUGUUCGGAAUUACUGGGCGUAAAGCGCGCGUAGGCGGUUACUCAAGUCAGAGGUGAAAGCCCGGGGCUCAACCCCGGAACUGCCUUUGAAACUAGGUGACUAGAAUCUUGGAGAGGUCAGUGGAAUUCCGAGUGUAGAGGUGAAAUUCGUAGAUAUUCGGAAGAACACCAGUGGCGAAGGCGACUGACUGGACAAGUAUUGACGCUGAGGUGCGAAAGCGUGGGGAGCAAACAGGAUUAGAUACCCCCGUAGUCCCUGUCUCUUAUAC